rnacentral:rRNA from 1 species
GUCCACAGGCAUACCAUACAGAACAUGGACCAAUCUCGUCUGAUCUUAGAAGUUAAACAGGGCUAGGCCUGGUUAGUACUUGGAUGGAAUAAUCCUUUGGCUAGGCCAGAGAAUGGUAGCAU